ACAAAGCAAGAAAACUCUGAGCAAAAUAACAUGCAUCCCAUCAGGGGGGAUGUGGUUCCUUCUUCAACAUGCAGCUUUCUUUCUGAAACUAAUGUCGUUAAGGAGGAUUUGUUACAGAAAAAGAGUCGCGGAGGCAGAAAACCCAAAAGGAAGAUGAAAACUCAAAACCUAGAUUCAGAACUCAUAGUUCCUACAAAUGUUAAAAUAUUAAGGAGAAGUAACCGGAAAAAAGCGGAUGAUCCUAUAGAUGAGGAAGAAGAGUUUGAAGAACUCAAGGGCUCUGAACCUCACAUGAGAACUAGAAACCAAGGUCGAAGGACAGCUUUCUACAAUGAGGAUGAUUCAGAGGAAGAACAGAGACAGCUGUUGUUCGAGGACACCUCUUUGACAUUUGGAACUUCUAGUAGAGGACGAGUCCGAAAGUUGACUGAAAAAGCAAAGGCUAAUUUAAUUGGUUGGUAACUUGAAGCAAAAUACUGUAUUUUAAAAAAUCUAUAAAGCAGGUACAGUUAAGGAGUACGUAGAGCUAAGAUUUCUGCUUCCUUGCUGCUAUGAUGGAUUAGGGAAUGUUACAAUUUGACUUGGGAAAAAGGAGAAAAAAAACCAU
rnacentral:lncRNA from 1 species